UCCCUGGUGGCUCAGAGGGUAAAGCGUCUGCCUGUAAUGCUGGAGACCCGGGUUCAAUCCCUGGGUUGGGAA
rnacentral:tRNA from 1 species